AAAGUGAGGAAUAAGCCACCGAAAGGUGGUCUAAUACUUCAUAAUAUCCAUCUCGUAUGGAUUAAAGCUUUAUGCGCUUUGGGAGGGGCCUGCGUAACAUUAGCUUGUCGGUGAGGUAAAAGCUCACCAAGGCUUCGAUGUUUAACUGGUUUGAGAGGAUGACCAGUCACACUGGGACUGAGAUACGGCCCAGACUCCUACGGGGGGCAGCAGUAAGGAAUCUUCCACAAUGGGGCAACCCUGAUGGAGCAAUACCGCGUGCAGGAUGAAGCGUUUCGGCGUGUAAACUGCUUUUAUCACCGAAGAUUAUGACUGUAGGUGAAGAAUAAGGACCGGCUAACUACGUG
rnacentral:rRNA from 1 species